UACCAGCACCCCGAGUGGUCGGGACGUUUAUUGGGCGUAAAGAGCUCGUAGGCGGCUCAGUAAGUCAGGUGUGAAAACUCCAGGCUCAACCUGGAGACGCCACCUGAUACUGCUGUGGCUAGAGUCCGGUAGGGGAGCAUGGAAUUCCUGGUGUAGCGGUGAAAUGCGCAGAUAUCAGGAGGAACACCGAUGGCGAAGGCAGGUCUCUGGGCCACUACUGACGCUGAGAAGCGAAAGCAUGGGGAGCGAACAGG
rnacentral:rRNA from 1 species